rnacentral:lncRNA from 1 species
CAUCUUAAUAGUUUUAUUUUAAAAUGAUAAUGACAUACUUACUAUUAACAUAUACAGCAUCAAAUGCUCUAAUAAAAAGUCUAGAACCUGAAUAACUUCCUGUAUAGUAAUAACUGUCUUUGCUUUCUGGUAUGACAUUUAUUCGGAGUCUGGCAAGGAAGCGUGAAGAUGGCAGUGGGAAAAUAAGGCUGGCUCUUCCUGAAACACAGGAAAACUGCUAAAAUGAAGC